UGGGGAAUUUUGGACAAUGGGCGAAAGCCUGAUCCAGCAAUGCCGCGUGUGUGAAGACGGCCUUCGGGUUGUAAAGCACUUUUGUCCGGAAAGAAAUGGCUCUGGUUAAUACCUGGGGUCGAUGACGGUACCAGAAGAAUAAGGACCGGCUAACUACGUGCCAGCAGCCGCGGUAAUACGUAGGGUCCAAGCGUUAAUCGGAAUUACUGGGCGUAAAGCGUGCGCAGGCGGUUGUGCAAGACCGAUGUGAAAUCCCCGAGCUUAACUUGGGAAUUGCAUUGGUGACUGCACGGCUAGAGUGUGUCAGAGGGGGGUAGAAUUCCACGUGUAGCAGUGAAAUGCGUAGAGAUGUGGAGGAAUACCGAUGGCGAAGGCAGCCCCCUGGGAUAACACUGACGCUCAUGCACGAAAGCGUGGGGAGCAAACAGG
rnacentral:rRNA from 1 species